rnacentral:rRNA from 1 species
UACGAAGGGGGCUAGCGUUGCUCGGAAUCACUGGGCGUAAAGCGCACGUAGGCGGGUCGUUAAGUCGGGGGUGAAAUCCUGGAGCUCAACUCCAGAACUGCCUUCGAUACUGGCGACCUUGAGUCCGGGAGAGGUGAGUGGAACUCCGAGUGUAGAGGUGAAAUUCGUAGAUAUUCGCAAGAACACCAGUGGCGAAGGCGGCUCACUGGCCCGAUACUGACGCUGAGGUGCGAAAGCGUGGGGAGCAAACAGG